UGUAGCAGCCGCGACUUCCGGCUGACGGACUUCCGGGUUUUUCGCGCCAUUUUUAGAUUGAAGUAGCUUAGCGAUAUCGAACUUUGGGGCGCUUUGUUGUGUUGCUGACUUGUUCCUACGUUUUUCGCCAGAUACCAGUGUCCUGUCAUAGAUAUUUGUAAGUAGAUUGUCAGUAUUUAUAUCUGCUUCUGUCCAGUAUUCAGUAAUUCGUAUUUAUCCGUGUAAUUCCUGUAUAUUUGUGUUUGUAUUUAGCACCGUUCGUUAUUGAUUGAAAAUAAAUUAAGAAUUAUUUGAAACGCGUUGAAACUCGAGGCCCCACAACCAGUCUAAACAGCCGUGGGGCUGGCACAGUGAAAUAUCUUCUCGGCGACUCAAAACAGCAAGAACUACGUUAUGGAAACCCAUGCAGAUGAAGCAACGACAGAGCCAACCGGCCAGAAUAGUCCCGUUUUGAACGAGAAUAACUUUACAAACGUGAUCGAAAUCGGACACGAAAAUAAACCACACAGCGAUCAAGACAGUUUAAGCGAAGUCACAGAGUGUCGUCGAAGCACUAGAGAGAGAAAACUAAACCAAAAAGGUAAAGAAUACAUUUUAGAUUUAAAGAGAAAUAUAUUCAAACAAACAAAGUGUUGUCUAGUUGAUAAAUUAUCGUCGCUUAAAACGGAAGUAAGCACUCUAGAAGGAUCGAGUAUUACAUACGAAAUUGAACAACUAGAGACUUUAGUCAAAGAAUUUAAUCAGGGUUUGGACGAAUUACUAAAACUGCUUGAACCCGAACAGCGUGAAAGCUAUAUUACAGAGUGUCAAAGCGUUUUGAACGACUGGAACAAUGUGAAGGGUUCGUUAGUUCUAAAUAUGCAAAAAUAUGAAAUCGAC